UACGUAGCAGCAAGCGUUGUUCGGAAUUACUGGGCGUAAAGAGUGUGUAGGCGGUGCUCCAAGUCUGGUGUGAAAUCUCCCGGCUUAACUGGGAGGGUGCCAUUAGAAACUGGAAUGCUAGAGGAUGGAGAGGUAAGCGGAAUUCCUGGUGUAGCGGUGAAAUGCGUAGAUAUCAGGAGGAACACCUGUGGUGUAGACAGCUUACUGGACCAUUUCUGACGCUGAGACACGAAAGCGUGGGUAGCAAACAGG
rnacentral:rRNA from 1 species